CCACAAAAAUUUGUUGUUAUGACGGCAAGUUGUAAGAUGUGAAAGAUGGACAAUGCAUGAAGUUUUAAGAAAGUAUUUAUUUACUGUUACUUUGAGAAAUUCGAC